rnacentral:rRNA from 1 species
CAAUAGCGUAUAUUUAAGUUGUUGCAGUUAAAAAGCUCGUAGUUGGAUUUCGGGCGGGUGACGGCGGUCCGCCUCUGGUGUGCACUGCCGGCAUCAGCCUUUCUGUCGGGGACGGGCUCCUGGGCUUCAUUGCUUGGGACUCGGGUUCGACGUGGUUACUUUGAGUAAAUUAGAGUGUUCAAAGCAGGCGAUCGCCCUGAAUACAUUAGCAUGGAAUAGCACGAUAGGACUCUGGCCUAUUUUGCUGGUCUGUAGGACCGGAGUAAUGAUUAAGAGGGACAGUCGGGGGCAUUCGUAUUUCAUUGUCAGAGGUGAAAUUCUUGGAUUUAUGAAAGACGAACUUCUGCGAAAGCAUUUGCCAAGGAUGUUUUCAUUGA